CGCCGAAGGUGGGGCUGAUGACUGGGGUGAAGUCGUAACAAGGUAGCCGUACCGGAAGGUGCGGCUGGAUCACCUCCUAACAGGGAGACAAAAAAUUGAUCUUGAUGUCUGAGUAAAUUUAUUCUUAGACCAAGGUCCUGUCACCUUAGGUCGAUCGGUACCUCAGAAUAGUUAUUUAGAGAUAAUCAACCCUAUUUAACUAUUUUCAGUUUCUAAACUUGUCUAGGUCACACCCAACAAGGGUUACUCCUGGGCCAUUAGCUCAGGUGGUUAGAGCGCACCCCUGAUAAGGGUGAGGUCCCUGGUUCAAGUCCAGGAUGGCCCAUUCGGCGUUGGGGGUAUAGCUCAGUUGGUAGAGCGCCUGCUUUGCAAGCAGGAUGUCAGCGGUUCGAGUCCGCUUACCUCCACUGGCCAGUACCCCUUAAGCUAAAAGUUGAGGUCCUUUGUUCAUUGUGAUUUAGAUGUUAUUCAGCUGAGUGAACCUAGCCUCUUUUUAUUCCAAUUCUUUAAAUAGAUAGGUUAAAAGGAUGCUGGGCUCAAUUUAAUUAUUAAUUGAAUUGAUUUUCAGCAGAACCUUGACAACUGCAUAGAUGAGUUUGGAAAAGAAAAAGCAUCUCAUGGAUGCAUAGGAUUCAUUUUCUUUUGUUUAAACUAAAAGAGACUGAUGACUAUGUUUAUUUUAUUGAGUAAGAGCCAAGAUUUGAUUUAUUUAGGAGUCUUUAAGAAAAUUUUUAAAGAUCUUCAAAGUUAAUAGAUUUUAUUUUGGUCAAGCUACGAAGGGCUCACG
rnacentral:misc_RNA from 1 species